rnacentral:rRNA from 1 species
UACAGAGGUCUCGAGCGUGUUCGGAUUCAUUGGGCGUAAAGGGUGCGUAGGUGGCGCCGUAAGUCGGGGUGUGAAAUUUCGGAGCUUAACUCCGAAACUGCAUUCGAUACUGCGGUGCUUGAGGACUGGAGAGGAGACUGGAAUUCAUGGUGUAGCAGUGAAAUGCGUAGAGAUCAUGAGGGAAGACCAGUGGCGAAGGGCGGGUCUCUGGACAGUUCCUGACACUGAGGCACGAAGGCCCAGGGGGAGCAAAACGGGG